GAUAAACGCUGGCGGCGUGCAUUACCAAUGCGAGUCGAACGGGCGUCUUCGGACGUCAGUGGCGACCGGGUGCGUAACACGUGGGUGACCUGCCUGUAUGUGGGGGAUACCCGCCCGAAAGGGUGGCUAAUACCGCAUAGGCUGCAUGUUUUUGGGCGUGUAGCAAAGCUCGCAAGGGCGCAUACAGAGGGGCCCGCGGCCUAUCAGCUAGUCGGUGGGGUAACGGCCUACCGAGGCAUCGACGGGUAGCCGGUCUUAGAGGACGGACGGCCACACUGGGACUGAAAUAUGGUCCAGAGCCCUACGGGGUUUAGCAUGGAGGAAUCUUGCGCAACGGCCUAACGGUCGGCGCAGCAACGCCGCGUGGGGGAUGAAGGCUCUCGGGUUGUAAACCCCUGUUGCUCGGGAAGAAGUACUGCUGGGGAGAGCCCAGCAGGAAGACGGUACCGGGCGAGGAAGCACCGGCUAACUACGUGC
rnacentral:rRNA from 1 species